GAUGAACGCUGGCGGCGUGCCUAAUACAUGCAAGUCGAGCGAACGGACGAGAAGCUUGCUUCUCUGAUGUUAGCGGCGGACGGGUGAGUAACACGUGGAUAACCUACCUAUAAGACUGGGAUAACUUCGGGAAACCGGAGCUAAUACCGGAUAAUAUUUUGAACCGCAUGGUUCAAAAGUGAAAGACGGUCUUGCUGUCACUUAUAGAUGGAUCCGCGCUGCAUUAGCUAGUUGGUAAGGUAAUGGCUUACCAAGGCAACGAUGCAUAGCCGACCUGAGAGGGUGAUCGGCCACACUGGAACUGAGACACGGUCCAGACUCCUACGGGAGGCAGCAGUAGGGAAUCUUCCGCAAUGGGCGAAAGCCUGACGGAGCAACGCCGCGUGAGUGAUGAAGGUCUUCGGAUCGUAAAACUCUGUUAUUAGGGAGGAACAUAUGUGUAAGUAACUGUGCACAUCUUGACGGUACCUAAUCAGAAAGCCACGGCUAACUACGUGCCAGCAGCCGCGGUAAUACGUAGGUGGCAAGCGUUAUCCGGAAUUAUUGGGCGUAAAGCGCGCGUAGGCGGUUUUUUAAGUCUGAUGUGAAAGCCCACGGCUCAACCGUGGAGGGUCAUUGGAAACUGGAAAACUUGAGUGCAGAAGAGGAAAGUGGAAUUCCAUGUGUAGCGGUGAAAUGCGCAGAGAUAUGGAGGAACACCAGUGGCGAAGGCGACUUUCUGGUCUGUAACUGACGCUGAUGUGCGAAAGCGUGGGGAUCAAACAGGAUUAGAUACCCUGGUAGUCCACGCCGUAAACGAUGAGUGCUAAGUGUUAGGGGGUUUCCGCCCCUUAGUGCUGCAGCUAACGCAUUAAGCACUCCGCCUGGGGAGUACGACCGCAAGGUUGAAACUCAAAGGAAUUGACGGGGACCCGCACAAGCGGUGGAGCAUGUGGUUUAAUUCGAAGCAACGCGAAGAACCUUACCAAAUCUUGACAUCCUUUGACAACUCUAGAGAUAGAGCCUUCCCCUUCGGGGGACAAAGUGACAGGUGGUGCAUGGUUGUCGUCAGCUCGUGUCGUGAGAUGUUGGGUUAAGUCCCGCAACGAGCGCAACCCUUAAGCUUAGUUGCCAUCAUUAAGUUGGGCACUCUAAGUUGACUGCCGGUGACAAACCGGAGGAAGGUGGGGAUGACGUCAAAUCAUCAUGCCCCUUAUGAUUUGGGCUACACACGUGCUACAAUGGACAAUACAAAGGGCAGCGAAACCGCGAGGUCAAGCAAAUCCCAUAAAGUUGUUCUCAGUUCGGAUUGUAGUCUGCAACUCGACUACAUGAAGCUGGAAUCGCUAGUAAUCGUAGAUCAGCAUGCUACGGUGAAUACGUUCCCGGGUCU
rnacentral:rRNA from 1 species